rnacentral:lncRNA from 1 species
CGGGAGGAUUUAACGGAGCUUGACUCGGGUUUUGAUAAUUCGGAAAAGAAUUGGGAUUGGGCCUAGGAAAAUUAGGUUGUGGAGUUUGAAAGUUUUGACCUUGGUUCCACGAGAAAUUCGGGUGAUUCUUCCACCCGGGGUUGUACGUUGGUGCAAACGGGUCAUUUCUAGGCUUAGGUUGAAACAUCGCGUUCACUUGCUCAAAAUCAUGAGAUUGUUGGAUCUCGGGAUGGGAAGCAUUAUAGUUCGGGAACAUAGGCAUAGAUGAGGGGCCACUAUGAGACUCUAAAGCUUCGAGUCUCUUAGUAAGGGUUGCUAAUUUGGCAUCGGUUGCCACAUUGUUUCCUAUCGAGUGCAAACCCCUAGAGCUAGACGCCUCGAUCGACUUUUUAGGUUCC